rnacentral:rRNA from 1 species
AUGAUCGAUAAGGGCGGCAGGGAAGAGGCCGGACAUGGCGGCAGAGAAUGGGCUGGACAUGGCGGAGGAGAAUGGGCUGGACAUGUCGGCAGAGAGAACGUGGACUCCACGCAGCAGAGUUCGUCAGUACUAAGUUCAAUCGUGCAGGACCCUCAUGUUCAAGCACUGCUUCACAAGGAGACAAGUACUGAGAGAGCUGCUUCUAGAGAGGAGGCUAAGCUGGAGCAACUGGUGGUAGACUCGAACACUCCAUUGUAUGAUGGUUGCAAUCCUGAGGUGACCCGCUUGAUUUUCACGCUCCAACUCCUGAAGACGAAGGCUAAAAACAAAUGGACCGACACUAGCCUCGAUGAGCAUCUCAAGUACCUAAAGGAUGUUCUUCCCGCUGGGAAUCUAUGUCCUAGUUGUGUUGAUGAGGCCAAGAAGAUCGUGUGCACUCUUGAUCUGCCGCAUGUUAGAUACCAUGCAUGCAUCAACGAUUGCAUAAUUUAUUGGAAGGAGCACGCGAAAAAAACAAGCUGUCCGGUGUGCAAUGCUUCUCGAUACAAGAAGGCCGGGAAGAAAUGUCCCCAGAAAGUUGUAUGGUACUUACCGAUCACUCCCCGUCUCCAGCGGUAUUUUGUAGAUCCCAAGGAAGCAAAGCUAAUGCGCUGGCACGCCGAGAGGAAGAAGCCCGACGAUGGAGAUGAUCCGAAGCUCAGACACGUCAAGGAUAGAAGCCAGUGGAUAGCGUUGAACAACUGA